rnacentral:rRNA from 1 species
UGGGGAAUAUUGGACAAUGGGCGAAAGCCUGAUCCAGCAAUACCGCGUGUGUGAAGAAGGCCCUAGGGUUGUAAAGCACUUUUGUUAGGGAGAACGGGUUUUAUAGUUAAUACCUAUAGAAUCUGAUGUUACCUAAAGAAUAAGCACCGGCUAACUCCGUGCCAGCAGCCGCGGUAAUACGGAGGGUGCAAGCGUUAAUCGGAAUUACUGGGCGUAAAGGGCGCGUAGGUGGUAUCUUAAGUUGGGUGUGAAAUCCCCGGGCUCAACCUGGGAAUUGCAUCCAAAACUGGGGUGCUAGAGUAUGGUAGAGGGUAGCGGAAUUUCUGGUGUAACGGUGAAAUGCGUAGAUAUCAGAAGGAACAUCAAUGGCGAAGGCAGCUACCUGGGCCAAUACUGACGCUGAGGCGCGAAAGCAUGGGGAGCAAACAGG